rnacentral:rRNA from 1 species
AUACGUAGGUGCCAAGCGUUAUCCGGAUUUACUGGGCGUAAAGGGCGUGUAGGCGGUCUUGCAAGUCAGAAGUGAAAUUCCUGAGCUCAACUCGGGCGCUGCUUCUGAAACUGCAGGACUUGAGUGCUGGAGGGGAUAGCGGAAUUCCUAGUGGAGCGGUAAAAUGCGCAGAUAUUAGGAAGAACACCGGUGGCGAAGGCGGCUAUCUGGACAGUAACUGACGCUGAGGCGCGAAAGCGUGGGGAGCAAACAGGAUUAGAUACCCUGGUAGUCCUCGCCGUAAACGAUGAAUACUAGGUGUAGGGGGUAUCGACUCCCUCUGUGCCGCAGUUAACACAAUAAGUAUUCCGCCUGGGGAGUACGGCCGCAAGGUUGAAACUCAAAUGAAUUGACGGGG